rnacentral:misc_RNA from 1 species
AGCAGCCGCGGUAAUUCCAGCUCCAAUAGCGUAUAUUAAAGUUGUUGCAGUUAAAAGCUCGUAGUUGAAUUUCGGGACCAAUUUGUUGGUCGUGCCUCGGUACGUACUGGUAUUAUUGGUUUCUCCCUACUGAAGAACCUCGAUGCCAUUAAUUUGGUGUCGUGGGGAAUCAGGACUGUUACUUUGAAAAAUUAGAGUGUUUAAAGCAAGCAUACGCUUGAAUACAUUAGCAUGGAAUAAUGAAAUAGGACGUUUGAUUCUAUUUUGUUGGUUUCUAGGAUCGACGUAAUGAUUAAUAGGGAUAGUUGGGGGCAUUAGUAUUCAACUGUCAGAGGUGAAAUUCUUGGACUUAUUGAAGACUAACUACUGCGAAAGCAUUUGCCAAGGAUGUUUUCAUUAAUCAAGAACGAAAGUUAGGGAUCGAAGACGAUCAGAUACCGUCGUAGUCUUAACCAUAAACGAUGCCGACCAGGGAUCGGCGGAUGUUG